UGAGUGACAUAUGAAACCUAUUUGGGACCCCGCAGGUAGUCGGCCGGAUUUUAUUGUUCGGAGCCGAGCAGAUGCCGUUCGAGAGAGAAAGAAAAACUCAAGGUUAUUUCUUUGUUUUCUAUCGCGUACUAGAUUCGAGCAUUUUUUAGUAUGUAACAGAUUUUUGGUGGGAUCAGACGUGUUUCAUUUGGUGUUCUCUUGACAGUGAAAAAUAAAGCUAUGGAACAAUUAUCGAGAGCUGCCUAUGCUCGGUUAAGUGCAACCGAAAGCAAUGAGCAAGUAAUUCGAAUACAGAUCAUACAUUUGGCAUGUGGCAAUCCAAUUCUUAUCCGCUGUAUCGCGCGACGAUGGGAUUGACGAGAUUCCAUAAUAUUUUGCGUUUUUUGCGAUUCGACGAUGGUAAUACUCGAAGUGAACGUAAAAGAGAAGACAAGGCAGCUCCAAUUCGUGAUGUGUGGACAAUGUAGAAUUGAAAUUUAGCUCAGAUGUACAAACCAACAGCUAACUUGACGAUUGAUGAACCGCUCUAUCCAUACCGUGGCCGUACUGGAUUUACUCAAUAUAUUCUAUUGAAACCAGAUAAGUAUGGUAUAAAGAUCUGGUGGAUUUGUGAUGCAGAAAACGCAUAUCCUUUGCAAGGGAUUAUGUACAUUGGUAAAACAGAUAAUACUCGAGAAAAAAACAGGGUGAAAGAAUUGGCGGCUCCGUACCAAGGUAGUGGUAGAAACAUCUGCAUGGAUAACUUCUUUACUACUGUACCAGUUGCUAAACAUUUAAUGUCGUGGAAUAUUACCACUGUUGGCACGCUAAAAAAGAAUAAAUAUUACAUCCCUAGUGUUAUGGGGGCGAAUAAGACACAGGAGCAGUAUUCGACAGCUUUUGGAUUUCACGAAAAGGUUACCAUGUGUUCCUACGUUCCUAAAAAAAUUAAGCUGUCAUUCUGAUAUCUACAAUGCAUUCAGAUAUAUCAGUUGGUGAUGACGCUAAACGAAAACCAGAAAUAAUAAAUUUUUAUAACAAAUAUGAAGCUGGAGUUGACACACUGGACCAAAUAGUGCGGAGAUACACCAGUCAACGACGAUCUUCGAGAUGGCCAAUGGCAAUGUUCUUCAACAUGCUAGAUGUUUCUUUACUUGCGGCAUAUAUAAUUUAUUAUGAAAAUAAUAAAAUGAUUGUCAAAAACAAACGACAGAACGUCGUCAAUUUAUGCGUAAACUAAGUGAAGAACUAGCAUUGCCGAUGAUUGAACAUCGCACGGCGAAUCCACAAGUAAUGCGGCACUUCUCAACAAAGAUUGCCAUUGAAAGUGUAUUAGGCCAUAUACUGACAGAAAUAGUUGUGAUAAAUCCUGAUCCAGAGACUCCAAAAGAUAAAACCGGAAGGAAAAAAGUAACAGGAUGUUGUCAUGUCUGCAAUGCUUUGCCAAUAAGAAGACGACGAAAGACACGUAAGGCCUGUGCCAAUUGUCACCAACCUGUAUGUGACGAGCACUCAGUUAAUCGUGUACAAUGUGUUCAAUGUCAUUAAUUAUAAAAAAAA